rnacentral:lncRNA from 1 species
UCUUUCUUCUAACAUCUAAACAUUCGUCAUGCAUCUCUAGCACUUGUAAUCAAUCACAUUCAUUGUAUUAUAACAUAUUCUAAACCAAAAUAACUUUAUACAAGCCAUUCACUGCCUCAAAGGAAUGGUUUUGGGUUCUUAUCCCUUUUGGGACCAAAUAUCCACAAGUCUUUCUUCUCACUUCUAAACAUUCUUCAUGCAUCUCCAGCACUUUUAAUCAAUCAAAUUCAUUGUAUUAUAACAUAUUCUAACCCAAAAUAACUUUAUACAAGCCAUUCACUGCCUCAAAGCAAUGGUUUUGGGUUCUUAUCCAAUUUGGGACCAAAUAUCGAUAGGUCUUUCUUCUAACUUCUAAACAUUUUUUAUGCAUCUCUAGCACUUGUAAUCAAUUACAUUCAUUGUAUUAUAAAAUAUUCUAAACCAAAAUAACUUUAUACAAGCCAUUCACUGCCUCAAAGCAAUGGUUUUGGGUUCUUAUCCCAUUUGAGACCAAAUUUCAACAAGUCUUUCUUCUCACUUCUAAACAUUCUUCAUGCAUGUCUAGCACUUGUAAUCAAUCAAUUUCAUUGUAUUAUAACAUAUUCUAACCCAAAAUAACUUUAUACAAGCCAUUCACUGCCUCAAAGCAAUGGUUUUGGGUUCUUAUCCAAUUUGGGACCAAAUAUCGAUAGGUCUUUCUUCUCACUUCUAAACAUUCUUCAUGCAUCUCUAGCACUAGUAAUCAAUCAAAUUCAUUGUAUUAUAACAUAUUCUAACCCAAAAUAACUUUAUACAAGCCAUUCACUGCCUCAAAGCAAUGGUUUUGGGUUCUUAUCCCAUUUGAGACAAAAUUUCAACAAGUCUUUCUUCUCACUUCUAAACAUUCUUCAUGCAUCUCUAGCACUUGUAAUCAAUCAAAUUCAUUGUAUUAUAACAUAUUAUAACCCAAAAUAAUUUUAUCCAAUCCAUUCUUUGCCU